rnacentral:rRNA from 1 species
UUAGAGUUUGAUCCUGGCUCAGAUUGAACGCUGGCGGCAGGCCUAACACAUGCAAGUCGAGCGGAUGAAGGGAGCUUGCUCCCUGAUUUAGCGGCGGACGGGUGAGUAAUGCCUAGGAAUCUGCCUGGUAGUGGGGGAUAACGUUCCGAAAGGAACGCUAAUACCGCAUACGUCCUGCGGGAGAAAGCAGGGGACCUUCGGGCCUUGCGCUAUCAGAUGAGCCUAGGUCGGAUUAGCUAGUUGGUGAGGUAAUGGCUCACCAAGGCGACGAUCCGUAACUGGUCUGAGAGGAUGAUCAGUCACACUGGAACUGAGACACGGUCCAGACUCCUACGGGAGGCAGCAGUGGGGAAUAUUGGACAAUGGGCGAAAGCCUGAUCCAGCCAUGCCGCGUGUGUGAAGAAGGUCUUCGGAUUGUAAAGCACUUUAGGUUGGGAGGAAGGGCAGUAAGCUAAUACCUUGCUGUUUUGACGUUACCGACAGAAUAAGCACCGGCUAACUUCGUGCCAGCAGCCGCGGUAAUACGAAGGGUGCAAGCGUUAAUCGGAAUUACUGGGCGUAAAGCGCGCGUAGGUGGUUCGUUAAGUUGGAUGUGAAAGCCCCGGGCUCAACCUGGGAACUGCAUCCAAAACUGGCGAGCUAGAGUACGGUAGAGGGUGGUGGAAUUUCCUGUGUAGCGGUGAAAUGCGUAGAUAUAGGAAGGAACACCAGUGGCGAAGGCGACCACCUGGACUGAUACUGACACUGAGGUGCGAAAGCGUGGGGAGCAAACAGGAUUAGAUCCCCUGGUAGUCCACGCC